AAAUAUAUUGUGAAUUGGACUUUUGUCCGUAUUAAUAAAUAAAUAAAUAAAUAAAUAAAUAAAUAAAUAAAUACGAGGCGAAUCUACUAUAGUAGAGAACCGACAGAAAUUACGGUGUCGAGUACCGCGUGCAGAGUUCAUGGGCUUGUGGUUUAACGUAACAUUAUGGCGCGUAAACUGCGUGUUGCAGACCAAACUUCGCCCAGAAUCGUUUUUCGUUUACGGCUACGAUUUAUUCCGCGAAUAUUUGUCUUUCCGUGUACAGAAUAUGAUUCGCCGUCUCAUUCGUUUCGAUACACCUACUACAGUAUUAUUAUAAUGCAAUAUAGACCGUAUAUACACGAAUAAUUCGCGUGUUAUGACUGCGUGAAAUUCGUGUUUUUCCGACGCUUUAUCCUGUGUAAUAUACCGCGGGUUAUGCUUUACAUCACUAUGAAAUACACCCGAUAUUCGAACCCGAAUGAUAAAAAUCACGUUCCGCGAAUAAAACGUUACAGUAUUAUUGAAAACGUUCGUCCGUACGUUUAUAUAGUUCGGUGUAGAUACACGUGUAUAAUAUGCGAUACACAUAAAAUAAUAUCGUAUCAUUUCGUAUAAAAAAAUAAUAAUAAUAAUAAUAAU